AGGCCUACUGAACUACUUGCCUUAAACUACAACGACUAAUAUACUACCUUGAAGUGAAACUACAGGAUCCCCAAAUCAGGUGCUAUAUCAUCCAAUUGCGAUGCACAGCGGCAGUGACGUAGUUGGGCAAACGAGGAAGUAAACAAUCAUGGCGACAACUUCAUACCAAGAGAGGUCGACAGUGAAACUCAUAACAUCAGUUUUGUUUUCUAGUGUGUAUGUGUUAGCUAUUUUCUUGAACGCCGUCGAUGCCAUACCGUCGUAUUACCACAGUCGUCAAGAAACUUUAAAUAGUCGACACCAAAGAGACAUUAGCCCUACCGAGGCAACUCAACAGGUCAGGCUUCAUCCCGGGGUGGUUGCAUCAGUGGUUAUCGUUACAUUAGCUGCGUUGGUGGCUGCAAUAUAUAUCAUUCGGAAGUACUGCUUCCCUCAAAAUGAUGCCAUAUACAGGUAUUCGACCCUGAGACAACUGGAGGAACAAAACACAGGUGUAUCUGAGGAAAACCGACUGUCUGAAGAAUCUGAUGAGGAUCUCUUGGAGUAG
rnacentral:lncRNA from 1 species